AUUGAACGCUGGCGGCAUGCUUUACACAUGCAAGUCGAACGGUAACAGCACUUCGGUGGCUGACGAGUGGCGAACGGGUGAGUAAUACAUCGGAACGUGCCUAGUAGUGGGGGAUAACUACUCGAAAGAGUAGCUAAUACCGCAUGAGAUCUACGGAUGAAAGCAGGGGACCUUCGGGCCUUGUGCUACUAGAGCGGCUGAUGGCAGAUUAGGUAGUUGGUGGGGUAAAGGCUCACCAAGCCAACGAUCUGUAGCUGGUCUGAGAGGACGACCAGCCACACUGGAACUGAGACACGGUCCAG
rnacentral:rRNA from 1 species